ACGGGUGAGUAACACGUGGGUGACCUACCUUCGAGUGGGGGAUAACGUCCCGAAAGGGACGCUAAUACCGCAUAACAUCCUGCCUUUGAACAGGUGGAGAUCAAAGCCGGGGAUCGCAAGACCUGGCGCUUGAUGAGGGGCCCGCGCCUGAUUAGCUAGUUGGUGAGGUAAUGGCUCACCAAGGCGACGAUCAGUAUCCGGCCUGAGAGGGCGGACGGACACACUGGGACUGAGACACGGCCCAGACUCCUACGGGAGGCAGCAGUGGGGAAUUGUUCGCAAUGGGCGCAAGCCUGACGACGCAACGCCGCGUGGAGGAUGAAGGUCUUCGGAUUGUAAACUCCUGUUGCUCGGGACGAAAAGCUUCGACCUAACACGUCGAGGUCUGACGGUACCGAGUGAGGAAGCCCCGGCUAACUCUGUGCCAGCAGCCGCGGUAAUACAGAGGGGGCAAGCGUUGUUCGGAAUUACUGGGCGUAAAGGGCGCGUAGGCGGCCUGCUAAGUCGAACGUGAAAUCCCUGGGCUCAACCCAGGAACUGCGUCCGAUACUGGUUGGCUUGAAUCCGGGAGAGGGAUGUGGAAUUCCAGGUGUAGCGGUGAAAUGCGUAGAUAUCUGGAGGAACACCGGUGGCGAACGCGACAUCCUGGACCGGUAUUGACGCUGACGCGCGAAAGCCAGGGGA
rnacentral:rRNA from 1 species